rnacentral:rRNA from 1 species
AGACACGUGCCGGACAACGGAGUGGGGAAGCAUAAGGGAAUGUGACUAAAUGGAAGGAAAUCAUACGGAACAGAGCAGCGUGAGGUAGGUAGGAUUGAGGUGCGUAAAACUCUGUUGUUAGGGAAGAACAAGUGCUAGUUGAAUAAGCUGGACACUUGACGGUACCUGACCGGAACGCUACGGCUAACUACGUGCGAGCAGCCGCAGUAAUCCGUAGGUGGCAAGCGUUAUCCGGAAUUAUUGGGCGUAUAGCGCGCGCAGGUGGUGUCUUAAGGCUGAUGUGAAAGCCAAGGUUGCAACCGUGGAGGGUAAUUGGAAACUGGGAGUCGUGAGUGCAGAAGAGGAAAAUGCAAUUCAAUGUGUAGCGGUGAAAUGCGAGGUGAAUGGGAGGAAAACCGGGGGUGAAGGCGACUUGCUGGCUAGUAACGGUUACGGAGGCGCGAACUCAGGGUGCGCACAGAGUGUUUGAU